rnacentral:rRNA from 1 species
UACAGGGGGUGCAAACGUUGCUCGGAAUUAUUGGGCGUAAAGCGCGCGUAGGCGGCUACUUAAGUCGGAUGUGAAAGCCCUUGGCUCAACUGAGGAAGUGCACCCGAAACUGAGUGGCUAGAGUACGAAAGAGGGUCGCGGAAUUCCCGGUGUAGAGGUGAAAUUCGUAGAUAUCGGGAGGAACACCGGUGGCGAAGGCGGGUCUCUGGGCCAUAACUGACGCUGAGGAGCGAAAGCGUGGGGAGCGAACAGG